rnacentral:rRNA from 1 species
CGUCCUUGAAAUACCACCCUUGUAGUGUUGAUGUUCUAACGUCGACCCCUUAUCGGGGUUGCGGACAGUGCCUGGUGGGUAGUUUGACUGGGGCGGUCUCCUCCCAAAGAGUAACGGAGGAGCACGAAGGUGGGCUAAUCACGGUUGGACAUCGUGAGGUUAGUGCAAUGGCAUAAGCCCGCUUGACUGCGAGAAUGACAAUUCGAGCAGGUGCGAAAGCAGGUCAUAGUGAUCCGGUGGUUCUGAAUGGAAGGGCCAUCGCUCAACGGAUAAAAGGUACUCCGGGGAUAACAGGCUGAUACCGCCCAAGAGUUCAUAUCGACGGCGGUGUUUGGCACCUCGAUGUCGGCUCAUCACAUCCUGGGGCUGAAGUCGGUCCCAAGGGUAUGGCUGUUCGCCAUUUAAAGUGGUACGCGAGCUGGGUUUAGAACGUCGUGAGACAGUUCGGUCCCUAUCUGCCGUGGGCGUUGGAAGAUUGAAGGGGGCUGCUCCUAGUACGAGAGGACCGGAGUGGACGAACCUCUGGUGUUCGGGUUGUGUCGCCAGACGCAUUGCCCGGUAGCUAAGUUCGGAAUCGAUAACCGCUGAAAGCAUCUAAGCGGGAAGCGAGCCCUGAGAUGAGUCUUCCCUGAUACUUUAAGUAUCCUAAAGGGUUGUCGGAGACUACGACGUUGAUAGGUCAGGUGUGUAAGUGCUGUGAGGCAUUGAGCUAACUGAUACUAAUUGCCCGUGAGGCUUAACCAU